rnacentral:rRNA from 1 species
GACGAACGCUGGCGGCGUGCUUAACACAUGCAAGUCGAACGAAGUGGCGAACGGGUGAGUAACGCGUAAUCAACCUGCCCUUCAGAGGGGGACAACAGUUGGAAACGACUGCUAAUACCGCAUACUGAAGGAGGGGAUUGCGUCUGAUUAGCUAGUUGGAGGGGUAACGGCCCACCAAGGGGAUGAUCAGUAGGCGGUCUGAGAGGAUGAACGGCCACAGUGGGACUGAGACACGGACCCGACUCCUACGGGAGGCAGCAGUGGGGAAUCUUCCGAAAUGGACGAAAGUCUGACGGAGCAACGCCGCGUGAGUGAUGACGGCCUUCGGGUUGGAAAGCUCUGUUAAUCGGGACGCGGUACCGGAAUAGAAAGCCACGGCUAACUACGUGCCAGCAGCCGCGGUAAUUC